GGAGACGCUGAAACCCUGCUGAAGCCCUGCCGACUGAAACGCUCCCCUCCCUGGGCGACGCUGGAGCCCUGUGGAGCUGCCAGGAUGGCCCGGUUUCAGUACCAGACUGUCGGGAUGGCCCGGAUUCAGUACCAGACUGUCGGGCCCACAAAUGCACUAGAACAGUGCCUUAACAGCUGCCCCUCAUUGGCCGGAUCAGCACUCUGAUGCGGGUGAUCCCGAGCACCCGGUACCAGGCCCGCUCCUGUGGGCCCGAACCCCACUCCUGUGGGCCCGAACCGCACUGGCUCCGGGCCCUCCACGCAACCAUUACGGCUUCGAUCGUUUCAUUCUUCCGUUUAAACGGGGCAGCGACUACGGACGGACGGACUGAUCCACUCUGCGGAAAUGGCACAUUCUGAUUGGUGCUGUGAGGGUGCCUUUGUGGAGACGGCAGGCUCUGGGAGAGAGCGAGAGAGAGAGCGAGAGGGGGAGAAGAUCCAGGAAGAUCACGUCGCAUCACAAAGGGAAGCCAAGGAGCCAGGGGGAAGCGGAUAUCUCCAUGUCACAGGACUGUCCAAAUAAGGGAAGGACUCAAGCAGGGAAAUACACGUGUUUUGUUAUUUUCUGUGUGCGAGUGUGUGUGCGCACGCAUGUGGGAGUGCUCGCGUCAAUGGAAGUGUUUUCUGUGUGCGUGGUACGAUGUGGGCACGUGUGUUUGAGCGUGUUCUGCCCCGUCAGCCGUGCUGGUUUGGGACGCCGCCUUUGGUGCAGGGGCUCAGUGCAGCGUUGCUGAAAUGCAGGGCUCUGGAACAGAGAGACGGUUUUAGCCCUUUGAAGAGCAGGUUAUUUUGGAACUCUUUAAGUCGGUGUUCUAGAACUCCAUUGCUUUCAGUCACCAGUGGUGAUUGUGACAUCAUCAACAUUAGAAUGUUCAGUUACGAACAUUCUAAUCUGAUAUUCAUGGCCUCACGCUGUAAAGGGUCAACGAUGGCCGCCUCGGACUUGAUUCGUCCCGACUCAAAAAACCCUCCCGGGCUCUCAGGAGCCCCGCCUUCAUACACACGCUCCGUAUUAGGGGCACUAGGACCAAACUGAGGCCCCAAUGGACCAUCGUACCAUCACCUACACCAUCUGCCCUACAUUUCUGUCUCGCUCAGGCCCCUGAACUCCUCUGUGGAAUACGGCUGUCUCGAGUUGCUUGGGUUAUCAGUUAUCAGUCUCUGAGUCAUUUGUGUGGGCUGUUCUGAGACCGCAGGGUGUCAGAAUCAGAGUACAGAGAGGCCAAGUUAAAUGCAGUGAAUGAAGUGAGAUUUUUAUUUUUACCGUGCAUCAAAAGGGCCAUUGUUUUUUUUUUUGGUUUUUUUUUAAAUCAUUAUUCCCUGUCCAUGAAAGGAAGCUAACUUGGAUGGAUUACAGUUUGUCAUGUACACAGAGAUUAAGAGCACUUAGCAAACCUUUUUAAGAAAGGUACAUUAUAACAGCUUAUUUUUCCUCAACCCUGUCAGUAACCAGUGUGAGCCACAUUAAGUAUGUAUAUAGUGUAAUUUAGGUAUGAAUUGGAUUUUAGACAUAGGAUUUUGUCGAAUGUGGUAGGUUUGCAGCUAGAAAAUGUUCAGUAAUUACAGUAAAGAUCUGGUUUAAGUGCAAUCUGAUUAUAAGUGACUGUAGGACUGUAGAGUUAUUCAUGGCCAGUUCUGUACCUGAAGUGACCAAGAGGGUUGUUCUCCAUCUGAGGAGACCAAGUCUUUGACGAAACAUUUUGACCAAUGACAAUGGCAUAAAUUACUUGAAAGCCCGAAAAAAACAAUGUCCAAAAUGCUAAUAAUUUCUGAUGUGUCAGAAUAUACUACUACAUAUAUUCGGAAAUGUACUGUAUAUCUACAAUUCCCAUGUAAUUCGGUGCAUGUAUUGUACAUUUAGAUAGGGUUUUGAAUACACAUGACUAUGUAGACAGCAACUUGUACUUAUUUUUGGCAAUAAUUAUUUUUUUAUUUUUAUUUUUUGUCCGGAAUGCCUUACAUUUUGUAGUUGAUGUUACAUUUUUUUAUUAGGCACCGAAUUGGGCGAUUCUGACACCUAUAGUCUUAACCGGUACCAGAGGGCGACUGGAUAAAAGCUCUCUUGGCGAUGAACAGAAACCCUGUCCCAGCACCCAGUUCAUUUAAUCAUGAGCGCUCUGCACUGGUUUCAUCCAGGGAGCCGUUACCUCCACUAGCCGGGAGCGUUGAGCAGCCAGCGGAACUCUCAAUCGACUUCGGUACUGAGAGCUUUGUAAUCAUUUCUAAUUCAUGGCCUGUUUUUUUGUGGAGCUCCUUGGUGUACAAUACCUCGGACGACCUUGUUAGCUGGUCUGCUUUCAGCUCACGUCCGGAUUUCUCUUUCAAGCUCGUUCUUUUCGGGUGGUUCGCCCUUCCCGUGGGCACUGAGUACGCACCCUCCAUCUUAGUCAUGGUGUUGACAUCCUAAUCACAUUCUGCAUUCUCUGUGGUGCUUAAGGAUCUAGGUGCUAUGUGUAUUAUCUAUGGUGCUUGGCAGAAGCCAGUUGAAUUCCCAACCAAAAAUAAGCCCCAACUGGACAGCCUAUAUUCCUUAUUUUCUGAACCUGGGUGCUGUAGCUUACCUGUGAGCUUACCUGUGAGCUUACCUGUGCAAGUGCGGUUAUAAUGCAGAGAGUGUGGUUAUAACGCGGAGAGUGUGGUUAUAACGCAGAGAGUGUGGUUAUAACGCAGAGAGUGGUUAUAAUGUGGAGUGUGAUUAUAAUGCGGAGAGUGUGGUUAUAAUGCAGAGAGUGGUUAUAACGCGGAGAGUGUGGUUAUAACGCAGAGUGUGGUUAUAAUGCAGAGUGGUUAUAAUGCGGAGAGUGUGGUUAUAAUGCGGAGAGUGUGAUUAUAAUGCGGAGAGUGUGGUUAUAACACAGAGAGUGUGGUUAUAACGGCGCUGCCUACGCGUUGCUUCUCUGUUCGUGAGAAACGCACAGCCCUGCUGUACUCCAUACUCAUGCACUGUAAUGUUUUUAAAGAAUUAUAAAAUGAGGCCACAGCUCUUUAGGGUGCUGUGCUUCCUGGUGUGGAUUCCCUGGAGUUGACACAAAGGAGAACCGUGAGCACUUGAGACUCUUAGGAAUAAGUGUGAUGAGUCAUUUAAAUAUUUUUAAAGACAACUGUGCACUUGAGACUCGUAGGUAUAAGUGUGAGAAGUAAUUUUCCUUUUUCUUUCUUUACUUUUGUUUUGGAGAGAACUGUGUGUAGUUGGGGGAUGCACUUAGGAAUAAGUGUGAGAUUUAAUUUGACAAAAAAAUUGUAUUGGUUCUCACUCAUUUCAGUGUGAUUAAGAGUGCUGUCCGGCCAGUGCAUGGAACAGUAAGUGCCAAAGUUGUCCUCUGGCUGGGGUCGCUGUGAUGCUGUGGGUGUGGGCUUGAGCGAAUGGGAAGGCAGGCUUGUUGGCGGUCUGUUGUACAGGACUCCCGAUUGGUCGCCGUGAGGUAACGUGUGUCCUGUGGAGCGCUGUUGACCACCACCGUGAUGUUAAUGAUGUGAUAUCGUUUUAGAAGCAUGUUUUUAAAUCGUCAAGCUCUAUUUGUUCAGGUCAUGUUACGUCAUGUUACUCUUUGUGUUUAGUGUCAUGUUUUUAAUAAAAUUACUUUGAAUGACUGUU